rnacentral:rRNA from 1 species
UAGGGAAUCUUCCGCAAUGGACGCAAGUCUGACGGAGCAACGCCGCGUGAGUGAAGAAGGAUUUCGGUUCGCAAAACUCUGUUGUUAGAGAAGAACAGCGCAUAGAGUAACUGUUAUGCGUGUGACGGUAUCUAACCAGAAAGCCACGGCUAACUACGUGCCAGCAGCCGCGGUAAUACGUAGGUGGCAAGCGUUGUCCGGAUUUAUUGGGCGUAAAGCGAGCGCAGGCGGUCAAUUAAGUCUGAUGUGAAAGCCCCCGGCUCAACCGGGGAGGGUCAUUGGAAACUGGUUGACUUGAGUGCAGAAGAGGAGAGUGGAAUUCCAUGUGUAACGGUGAAAUGCGUAGAUAUAUGGAGGAACACCAGUGGCGAAGGCGACUCUCUGGUCUGUAACUGACGCUGAGGCUCGAAAGCGUGGGUAGCAAACAGG